GAUCAUGGCUCAGAUUGAACGCUGGCGGCAUGCCUUACACAUGCAAGUCGAACGGCAGCGGGCCUUCGGGUGCCGGCGAGUGGCGAACGGGUGACCGUAAUGCAUCGGAACGUGCCAUUGAGUGGGGGAUAACGUAGCGAAAGUUACGCUAAUACCGCAUAUUCUGUGAGCAGGAAAGCAGGGGACCGCAAGGCCUUGCGCUCUUUGAGCGGCCGAUGUCAGAUUAGCUAGUUGGUGAGGUAAAGGCUUACCAAGGCGACGAUCUGUAGCGGGGUCUGAGAGGAUGAUCCGCCACACUGGAACUGAGACACGGUCCAGACUCCUACGGGAGGCAGCAGUGGGGAAUUUUGGACAAUGGGCGCAAGCCUGAUCCAGCCAUGCCGCGUGAGUGAAGAAGGCCUUCGGGUUGUAAAGCUCUUUCGGCCGGGAAGAAAUCGCAUGGGUUAAUACCCUGUGUGGAUGACGGUACCGGAAUAAGAAGCACCGGCUAACUACGUG
rnacentral:rRNA from 1 species